rnacentral:pre_miRNA from 1 species
GAUGUACUUUCUCCUUCCUAAAAUUCUUGUCUUACAUUUGUCUAAAUACGGAUGUAUCAAGUCAUGUUUUAGUAUUAGGUACAUCCGUAUCUAAACAAAUACAAGACAAGAAUUUUGGGACGGAGGGUAUAGA